rnacentral:rRNA from 1 species
GAGUUUGAUCAUGGCUCAGAUUGAACGCUGGCGGUAGGCUUAACACAUGCAAGUCGUGCGAGAAAGUAUCUUCGGAUAUGAGUAGAGCGGCGGACGGGUGAGUAACGCGUAGGAAUCUACCUAGUAGAAGGGGAUAGCCCGGGGAAACCCGGAUUAAUACCGUAUACCUCCUUCGGGAGAAAGAAGGCCUCUCUUUGAAGCUUUCGCUAUUAGAUGAGCCUGCGUAAGAUUAGCUUGUUGGUGAGGUAAAGGCUCACCAAGGCGACGAUCUUUAGCUGGUCUGAGAGGACGAUCAGCCACAUUGGGACUGAGACACGGCCCAGACUCCUACGGGAGGCAGCAGUGGGGAAUAUUGGACAAUGGGCGCAAGCCUGAUCCAGCCAUACCGCGUGUGUGAAGGAGGCCUUCGGGUUGUAAAGCACUUUAAGCAGGGAGAAAAAGUUAUAAGUUAAUACCUUAUAACCCUGAUGUUACCUGCAGAAUAAGCACCGGCUAAUUCCGUGCCAGCAGCCGCGGUAAUACGGAAGGUGCAAGCGUUAAUCGGAAUUACUGGGCGUAAAGCGCGCGUAGGUGGUUUGUUAAGUUGGAUGUGAAAGCCCUGGGCUCAACCUAGGAACUGCAUCCAAAACCAACUCACUAGAGUACGAUAGAGGGAGGUAGAAUUCAUAGUGUAGCGGUGGAAUGCGUAGAUAUUAUGAAGAAUACCAGUGGCGAAGGCGGCCUCCUGGAUCUGUACUGACACUGAGGUGCGAAAGCGUGGGUAGCGAACAGGAUUAGAUACCCUGGUAGUCCACGCCGUAAACGAUGACAACUAGCUGUUGGGAGACUAUGUCUUUCAGUGGCGCAGCUAACGCUUUAAGUUGUCUGCCUGGGGAGUACGGCCGCAAGGCUAAAACUCAAAUGAAUUGACGGGGACCCGCACAAGCGGUGGAGCAUGUGGUUUAAUUCGAUGCAACGCGAAAAACCUUACCUACUCUUGACAUACUUGGAGGCUCUUGUAAUGAGAGUGUGCCUUUUGGAACCAAGAUACAGGUGCUGCAUGGCUGUCGUCAGCUCGUGUCGUGAGAUGUUCCGUUAAGUCGGAUAACGAGCGCAACCCUUACCCUUAUUUGCCAGCGAUUCGGUCGGGAACUAUAAGGGGACUGCCGGUGAUAAACCGGAGGAAGGUGAGGACGACGUCAAGUCAUCAUGGCCCUUACGAGUAGGGCUACACACGUGCUACAAUGGGAGAUACAGACGGACGCUAAGCCGCGAGGUGGUGCUAAUCCUAAAAAGUCUUUCGUAGUCCGGAUUGGAGUCUGCAACUCGACUCCAUGAAGUCGGAAUCGCUAGUAAUCGCGGAUCAGCAUGCCGCGGUGAAUACGUUCUCGGGUCUUGUACACACCGCCCGUCACACCAUGGAAGUGGAUUGCACCAGAAGUAGAUAGUCUACCUUAGGGAGGGCGUUUACCACGGUGUGCUUCAUGACUGGGGUGAAGUCGUAACAAGGUAACC